UACAGAGGUCUCAAGCGUUGUUCGGAUUCAUUGGGCGUAAAGGGUGCGUAGGUGGCGCGCUAAGUCAGGUGUGAAAUUUCGGAGCUUAACUCCGAAACUGCAUUUGAUACUGGCGUGCUUGAGGACUGGAGAGGAGACUGGAAUUCAUGGUGUAGCAGUGAAAUGCGUAGAGAUCAUGAGGAAGACCAGUGGCGAAGGCGGGUCUCUAGGCCGACACUGACGCUGAGGAGCGAAAGCGUGGGGAGCGAACAGG
rnacentral:rRNA from 1 species